CUGCCCCUCCCCCUGCGCGCCCGAGCAGUCUCAGCAGAUGGCCGCUCCGUCGGGAACAUCUGGAGGUCGCUGGCGAGGGAGAGGGAGAGAGAGAGAGAGAGGAGGGACUUGUUGGUGAGAAAGAGAUGGCUCUCUGCUAUGGCCUGGGAAGGCAGUAGAAGAUGGCCUCGGUCCUUGGGUCCCUGUACCCACGUGGGAGACUCAGAAGAAGCUCCUGGCUUUGGAUCGGCGCAGCUCUGGCCGUUGCGGACAUCUGGGGAGUGAACCAGCGGAUAGAAGACCUCUCUCUCUGUCUCUACCUCUCUCUGUAACUCUUUCACAUAAAUAAAUAAAUCUUAAAAAAAAAAAUCAUUGUAUCACU